GAUUAACGCUGGCGGCGUGCCUAACACAUGCAAGUCGAACGAUGAAACUUUAAUGACCCCUUCGGGGAGAAUUAAAGCGGAUUAGUGGCGAACGGGUGAGUAACGCGUGAGUAACCUGCCUUACACAAGGGGAUAGCCUUUGGAAACGAAGAAUAAUACCCUAUAAAACCAUAAAAGCACAUGCAAUUAUGGUCAAAGUGAUAGCGGUGUAAGAUGGACUUGCGUCUGAUUAGCUAGUUGGUGAGAUAAAAGCCCACCAAGGCAACGAUCAGUAGCCGGCUUGAGAGAGUGUACGGCCACAUUGGGACUGAGACACGGCCCAGACUCCUACGGGAGGCAGCAGUGGGGAAUUUUGCACAAUGGGGGAAACCCUGAUGCAGCGACGCCGCGUGAUUUAGAAGGCCUUCGGGUUGUAAAAAUCUUUUGUAUAGGAAGAAAAUGACAGUACUAUACGAAUAAGGUCCGGCUAAUUACGUG
rnacentral:rRNA from 1 species